UUGAGAGCGGGCUUGAUGUCCUUUCUAAACUCUUCCGCAGUUUAAGCUGGGAAGGCUGGGGAGGACUGGGGUCCAGAGCGCAGACAUCCUGCCGCCUUGCAGGAGCCUCGGCUAACUGCUGGGAUUCUCAGAAAAGACCCAGUCUUCCCUCAGCUCCACGUGUUGUGGUGGUGACCUGAGAGGCUCACAGGAGUCCCCGGACUAGUGUAUGUAGUGAGAGUUAGCAAAGAAAAGUUUCAGAUAUUGUGGUAUGGGGAUUCCGAAGAGGACGGACCCCUUACCUUUUAUUUCUCAAGAGGAGUGCAAAGCUAACUCCCAAGACAAAUCACACAGCUCCAGCUGUGUUAGAAGUUCACAAUUACUUCCCCUCCUUUGUUACUCAUUAUUUCCUGGCCAAUUUUCUUUAAAAAAAAAAAAAAAAAGUAGUACUUUAGUGCUUUGGUUAACAGCUCGAAGUCACUAUUGUUUUGGAAAAGUUGAUCUGUCUGUUUAGCCAGUUCUGCAAGAAUUUUACAGAAGGGAGUUUGUAUAAUGACAUCAUCAACGAGCAUAACUCUGAAAAUAGUUCCUAGGCUGGGCACCAGUGAAGCAGUAUUUCCUUGGCGUCCUUUACUAAGCUUUACACCCUCACUCUAGUGCUAUUCUUCCUUCCCAGUUGCCUGUAUCCCAUUAGGAACACUCUCCUUUCCCCCCCUUUGCCUGGCUCAUUCCUCAUCCAUCAGGCUCCCUCUCUGUGGACAUUUUCUUCUGGUAGCCUUUCCAGGCUCCCAAGUCUGGGUGAGGUCACCCUCCUAAAUGCUUUCACUCACCUGGUGUUUUGCACUGCCCUCAUGGCCCAGUCUUGUAGGUAUGGAUUUACCUGUCUCUGCUUCAUCUCCUUGCAGAUUGAUAGUGCUGUGAAGAAGACCCUGGCUGGCCAGUCCCAUUCCUACAGUUCCCAGCCCAAAACAGACACAAAAAGAAGUGAAUGGUGGGGGGCUGGAGCCAGGAAGUUGAGGCCGCUCCGCGCCACGUGGGAUCCUCCCGGACCGGGAGGCACGAACCCGUGUCCCCUGCAUCGGCAGGCGGACUCUCAACCACUGCGCCACCAGGGAAGCCCAGGCUCAAGUAAGGAUAAAGGCCUAAACAAGCCUGUAGAGAUGGCCGAAGAUCUAGGGACAUCACUUCUACCAAAGAAUUUUUCUAUAGCUAGAGGGCACCAGAUACCACAUCAGCCAAGUGAUGAAGAAAAUUGAAUACUGUUUCCAUCCAUGAAUAGAAAUAUAUUUGAGUUCUUGGGAAAUGGAAGAAAGAAGAGGGAAUGUUUUGAUUUGGAUAUGUAAUCUGUGAACCUGAUCAUAGAGACAUUUUCAUCUCCCAAAGAACAUCUUAUUUCUCUCAGGGUUAAAGACAUGAUGUAUACAAAGCACCUAGCACACUCA